GACGAACGCUGGCGGCGUGCUUAACACAUGCAAGUCGAACGGAAAGGCCCAGCUUGCUGGGUGCUCGAGUGGCGAACGGGUGAGUAACACGUGGGGGAUCUGCCUCUAACUUCGGGAUAAGCUUGGGAAACUGGGUCUAAUACCGGAUAGGACAAUCGUUUCGUUUCGGUUGGGGAAAGUUUGUUCGGUUAGGGAUGAGCGCGCGGCCUAUCAGCUUGUUGGUGGGGUAAUGGCCUUCCAAGGCUUCGACGGGUAGCCGGCCUGAGAGGGUGGACGGCCAAGCUGGGACUGAGAUAAGGCCCAGACUCGUACGGGAGGCAACAGUGGGGAAUAUUGUACAAUGGGCGGAAGCCUGAUGCAGCGCCGCCGCGUGGGGGAUGACGGCCUUCGGGUUGUAAACCUCUUUCGACAGGGACGAAGCUUUGGUGACGGUACCUGUAUAAGAAGCACCGGCUAACUACGUG
rnacentral:rRNA from 1 species